rfam:Pleurotus ostreatus PC15 unplaced genomic scaffold scaffold_05, whole genome shotgun sequence.
GGCUUAGUAGUGUAGUGGUUAUCACACCAGAUUCUGACCAGUUUCACUUGUGAAUUCUGGUAACCCAGGUUCGAAUCCUGGCUAGGCCU